rnacentral:misc_RNA from 1 species
UUAUAGUUCGUGAUCAUUUCGCCGUCCAUAAAUACGAGUGACCCAAGAGUCGCCUUCAGGUGUGAUGGGGGAGACGGACGUCUGACGGACAACAGGAGCUGCUCCUUAAGUAUUAUCAAGAUGGUGAAGCUGACAGAGGACAUGGUGGUGGCCAGGUCCAAGGGGUCGGACCUGCAUAACGUCAGGAAGCUCAACUGUUGGGGCAGUGAGCUGUCUGAUGUUUCUGUAGUGCGGAAGUUGGAGAAUGUAGAAGUUUUGUCUCUGAGUGUGAACCGUAUUAGUACAUUAGCAGACUUUCAACAUUGCCCUAAUCUUCAAGAGUUGUAUAUUCGUAAAAACAAUAUUGCCGACAUCAAUGAAAUUCUCUACCUUCGUCAACUUCCCAAGCUGAAAAGUCUUUGGCUUGCAGAUAAUCCAUGUGCUGAAUUUGAGCAGUAUCGGCUAACAGUGUUACGGGCUUUGCCACACCUUCAGAAGUUGGAUAAUGUUGCUGUGGAUUCGGAAGAAGUACAGCAGGCUAUGGUAUGUGGAGUGCCUCUACCAGCUACAGAAGGGUCUAGGGGUGGAGAUGAGCGAGAGCUUCCACGAUCGAGCAGCGUGGGAGAAUCUUUGCGCAGUGAAUCUGGUGGUGGCAGCAGCAUGUCGGACUGUUCCCCUCCAUCUUCAGAGAGACGAUAUUCUCAGACCACAACUCCGACACGCUCCAGUCAUCAGGAUGUCUAUGGGCAGUCCUUGGAUGAUGACUAUGAAUACUCUCAGGCUGUCUAUGAAGAUGACGAACAACCUGUCACCCGCCGAGCGGGCUACAACCAUUAUUCUGAUCCUGAACGUAGAAUUUCACAAAUGUCGCAACACUCCAAUCAAGGCUCCUCACCACAGGUGGUGGUCGGUGAUGGAGGUAAACGCUGCCACAGUAGACGGUUAAAUGGUACACAGGCAGAGGAUACAUUGCAGCAACAUUAUGGCGGGAGAAGAGGAAGCCAUCUGAGGCAACAGGAAUAUAACUCUUCUAUAGAGAACAACCAGUACACUAGAAGGCUCUCCAAUUCCCAGGCAUCAAGUGGAUACAGCAGCUCCAGCAGUAACUCGAAUGGUGUUUACUACCGAGCAGAUCCAGACAGUGCCGAGAGACUGCGUCGAGAAUCGUAUUCCUCCACACAGAGCCCCACUCGUCGUAGUAGUCAAAUUGCCACCGAAGCUGACACUUCUGCAGAUACUCGCGGGUAUAUACGCUCUCCUGAAUCUUCAUGCACUCACAAUGCUGAUUAUGAGUACGACUCACGCAAUGCAAACUACCUGAGCCGGGAAGACACGGCUCCCAGGUAUACCAACGGCACUAACAACUCUCCCCUCACCCCUGAUAAUAAUGACAGCAAUACCACUAACAACAACCCACUAUGCCCCCUUCAUCGCCGUGCUACCCAGGAACAGCGUGAUCCUCGCUGGUGUGAUACCGAGGAAAGAGAGCGCGCUUACAGCCGAGGUGAUGGCUAUGGAUAUGCUGCUCCACCAUAUGAAACUCAGCGAAGUCCAGGAAGCUUUGAGCAGAGAACGGCACCUCAACAGGAUCCUCGUUUCACUCAGCAAGCUCCAAAUAGAGUACCAGCUGACAGCAGUGUUGUGGUACAGCAGCACUAUGAUAAUGCCUACCGUCGCGCAGAACAGCAGAUAGAUACCAUAACACGAGCUGUGGCCUCGGAACGGUCUUCCCCUACCAAGCCUUAUCCAGCCAGGCCUAAGACUCGGAAUGCCAAUUUGUUGUCUGCCGUGUUAUGUCUGAUCAAAGAACUUGACUACACAAGUCUAGAAGUAGUGGAGAUGGCUGUAAGGUGUCGUAUGGAGGAAUUAGAUGAUUAAAAGUAGCAGAGUGCCAAGAUCCUUGUCUUCUGUGGAGAGUAAAGUGAGGCGCCAGGUACACAGUCUACCCUCUUUCUCUGGCAUGUCUUAUGUUCGUGUGAUGCUUUCCACUUUCUUAUUUCGCAACCACCUCUGGUGCAAUUCCAGGGACCCACAGCCUAGAAGAAGAGAACAGAGCAUUCAGAGAAAAACUUGCUAUUUAACUCUGUAUAUGUGCGCCGGGACUAUUUAA